rnacentral:rRNA from 1 species
GACGAACGCUGGCGGCGUGCUUAACACAUGCAUGUCGAACGGAAAGGCCCUGCUUUUGUGGGGUGCUCGAGUGGCGAACGGGUGAGUAACACGUGAGUAACCUGCCCUUGACUUUGGGAUAACUUCAGGAAACUGGGGCUAAUACCGGAUAGGAGCUCCUGCUGCAUGGUGGGGGUUGGAAAGUUUCGGCGGUUGGGGAUGGACUCGCGGCUUAUCAGCUUGUUGGUGGGGUAGUGGCUUACCAAGGCUUUGACGGGUAGCCGGCCUGAGAGGGUGACCGGCCACAUUGGGACUGAGAUACGGCCCAGACUCCUACGGGAGGCAGCAGUGGGGAAUAUUGCACAAUGGGCGGAAGCCUGAUGCAGCAACGCCGCGUGCGGGAUGACGGCCCUCGGGUUGUAAACCGCUUUCGCCUGUGACGAAGCGUGAGUGACGGUAAUGGGUAAAGAAGCACCGGCUAACUACGUG